rnacentral:misc_RNA from 1 species
AAGUCGUAACAAGGUUUCCGUAGGUGAACCUGCGGAAGGAUCAUUAAAGAGUUAGGGUCUCAUACGGCCCGACCUCCCAACCCUUUGUGUAUUGAACCUGUGUUGCUUCGGCGGGCCCGUCGUGAAAACGACCGCCGGAGGAUCGUCGAGAGGCGUCCUCUGGCCCGCGCCCGCCGGUGGCCUACACCUACAAACUCUGAAUGAAUCAUGUCCUAUGUCUAAGUUUUUUUGAUAAAUAAAAAGCAAAACUUUCAACAACGGAUCUCUUGGUUCUG